UGGUAUCCUAGAAAGAAGCAGUCACAGAGGACUUCCUGGAGGAGAGGAUAGUCCACCUCCAUAAAAGCAGUAUGGUUUUGAUGGGGAGAAAGUGUAAUUAUACACUGUAGCAAUAACCAAGAUAUUAGGUGAAUAUUAGAGGAAUGCUAAGUCACAAAGUAAUUGAUGGGAUUUAGUGAUUGAUUAAAUAGAAGAGAAAUGCAAGGUGAAUCCUCAGUCUUCAGCCUUAAAUAUUUUUGACAGUAGUCACUUUAACAAGAUCCUAUAUGGGAGCCAGGUUGGUGCAGGAAGGUGGGGUAGAGGAUGGGGGAGGGGUCAGGUAUCCAGUUUCAGAAACAUUUAGUCUUUAAGGUCAUAAGGGGACAGCCAAGGAAAACUACAUUCUCUCUCUUUUUCUCUCUCAUGCACGUGCACACACACACACAUCCACCCACCCACCCACCUGGGCUCUUGGUAUUGGAAGCGCAAAGUCCUAACCUCUGGGCUGCCAGGGAAUUCCCAGAGACUGUACAUUCUUGAUUGGGAUCUGGGAGAAAGGCUGGAGCUUGGGGAAAUAAGUUAGAAAUCAAUAGAUCAGAAACAAUCAUUGAGCUCCCAAGAAUAAAUUAUGUCUUGAAGGACAUAGGAAACAAAAGCAAUAAAGAGAUUUGGGGACUGGAAUGGUGUUAAAAAUUAGUGGGCAGUAAAUGUGAGAGGGAGAAGAGAAGGAACAGAAGCAGAAAAAGAAAUGGGGAGGGGCGUGUCCAUAGCUGUGGUGGUCUGAAUGUCUUCUCUGAAGGAUGUCCAGAUGCUAAUCCCUGGAGCCCAAGAAAAUGUUACUUUACCUGAUAGGAGGUACUUUGCAGCUGUGGUUGAUUGUGGUGGGAACUGGAUUGUCUCAGUGGACCCACUGUAAUCACAAUCCUUCGAAGAAGGAGAUAGGAGGAUGAGUGUCAGAAAAGGAGAUGUGAUGACAGGUAAAGGCCUGAGUGAUGCGGGGCCAUGAGCCAGGGAAUGGCAGCAGCCUCUGAAAGCUGGAGGAGGCAAGGAGCAGGUUCUCCCUAGAGCUUCCCAGAAGAAAACAGUUCUUUUUAUAAAAGUCUUUAUUGAAUGUGUUACAGUAUUGCUUUUGUUUUACCUUUUGGCUUUUUGACUGCUAGGGUUAUGGGAUCUUAGCUUCCCCACCCCCUGCGCUGGCAGGUGAAAUUUUAAUCACUCGAGCACCAACAAAGCCCCAGGAACACAAAUCUGCUGACUCAUUUAACCUUCUUUCAGAACUGGAAGAGAAUAAAUUUGUGUUGCUGUAAGCCACUAAGUUUGUAAUUUGUUACAGCAGUGAUAGAAAACUAAUGCAGGGGUUAACAACGGAAAACAACCUAAAUUCCUAGCAGUGACAGAUUGGUUAAAUAAGUUACAGUACAUUACUGUGGUGGACUAUUGUAGUUAGCCAUUAAAAAUUAUGCCAUUAAAGAUCAUCUAAUAAUAUAGGCAAUGUUCAUAAUAGAUUGCUAAAUACAGAAAGCAAGUAAAGAUAUUAUAGGUAUUUAUGUGAAAAAUUCAUCGAGGUACACUUAAGAGUUACACAUUUUUUGCACUGAACGUAGGCAUGGUAUACCUCAAUAAAGUUUUGCAGAUAUUAUAUAGAUGUCCUGUUUUGUUCCAAGAAGAGAAGUGUAUUAAACCUGUAUUAAACCAGUGUAUCCAAAUAGGAAAAAGACUGAGACUGUAUAAACCAUAUGUUAAUAAUGUCUACCUCUGGGUGGCAGAUUACAGAUGAUUUUUAUAUUCAUUUUGUUAUUUCUGUGAAUUCCAGUUUUUCUUCAGUGAACAGGUAUUACUUUUGUGAUCAAAAAUUAGUUUUUAAAAAUCAAGGAAAAUGGGUAGAGGGAAAGUCUGAAGAAAGCUUUGUAUGCUCAAGGGCAAGGGCCCUGGAGCGCCUGGCACAACCAACCCACUAUCAACAAUUUUCUGCAAAUAGGUGAUUUUUUAAAAAAUUGUAUCCCCUCCACCCCCAACAGAAAGGGAUUCAAUCCUGGGGACGAAGAAGGAAGAAGAACAAAGGCAAGAAUAUAGAGGAAAUGACUGGAGGAUGUGGUAUGCCAAAGUGAGACAAUAAAUCAAGAAACAAGAAGACAUGUGAUCCUGGAAACAGGAUAUUCAACAGAGGAACUCAGGAGUGAAAGCAUAUCAGCCACAAAAUCAGAGCAGCAGAGUUCUCUUUGGCCACCUGAUGUGAAGAGCCAACUCAUUGGAAAAGACCCUGAUGCUGGGAAAGACUGAGGGCAGGAUAAAGAGG